rnacentral:rRNA from 1 species
CCUACGGGAGGCAGCAGUGAGGAAUAUUGGUCAAUGGGCGAGAGCCUGAACCAGCCAAGUCGCGUGAGGGAGUACUGCCCUAUGGGUUGUAAACCUCUUUUGUCGGGGAGCAAAAGCCGGACGUGUCCGGCUGUGAGAGUACCCGAAGAAAAAGCAUCGGCUAACUCCGUGCCAGCAGCCGCGGUAAUACGGAGGAUGCGAGCGUUAUCCGGAUUUAUUGGGGUUAAAGGGUGCGCAGGCGGAUUUUUAAGUCAGCGGUCAAAUCGUGGGGCUCAACCCCAUCCAGCCGUUGAAACUGGGGAUCUAGAGUGUGCGAGAGGUAUGCGGAAUGCGUGGUGUAGCGGUGAAAUGCAUAGAUAUCACGCAGAACCCCGAUUGCGAAGGCAGCAUACCGGUGCACAACUGACGCUUAGGCACGAAAGCGUGGGUAUCGAACAGGAUUAGAUACCCCAGUAGUC